rnacentral:misc_RNA from 1 species
CGGUUCUCACGGCGCCUCGUUACACACAUUGACACACACACACACACACACACACACACACACGAAAGCAGAGACUCUCUGGCUCUUGCCAUUCCCCUUGCUUUCCUCAUUUUCUCUGUGUGUGCCUACCACGAAAGGUGCGGACGCGUCUCUUGUCUCUUUGUUAGCCUCUCUGUCUCCCUUGUUGCUGCUGGACCGACCCGCGCCUUCUUUCUGUUUUUUUUUUGUCUCCUUCCUUUUUCAUCGGACCCCCUCGUGUGUGCGCGCGUCGCUGCCGUUGUUGACUGUGAGUGUAGGUGUGUUUGCGACACAGGUAGUCGCGAGGAAAAUUCAGCAAGAGAAACCUAGCAAGACACCAAGAUCACGUGGUAUUGAUCAUCUUGUUUCUGGUGUGUGUCUUUGAGCACCACAAAAAGGGAAGGCUGAGCGAAGGAAGCCUGAACCGAGGCGUGGGUCUCUACGCAAAGCAGCAAGGCAGCACACCGCGUGGUGGUGGCGGGAAAAAGACGAUAUAUACAGCAACCCCUCCUCUCUUUCGCAUCUUACUGUUUCUUGCCGUGAGCUCCGACAACGUUUUUUUGCCCGUUUUUGUUCACUUGUGUUUAUCUCCUGUCCCUCUGGUGCUGUCAAAGGCAUUCAUUGCGUCUUGAUGCUGGUGGUGUUGCGAGAAGGUCUUGAUCCACAUACGCAGGCGCGAACCCGAAUACACAACCCCCUCCCCCCACGCGCGCGUAAAUACCUACCUUCACCACUGUACCCAUACACACGCACAAAGGUGUAACGCGUGCUCUCUCAAGACACUCCUUCCUGCUGUUCCUCUGUCACUCCCGCUGUUACAUCUUUGCCUUUCCCUGUAGAAAACCUCGUUGGUGUUUCUUUUUUUGUUGUUGUUUGCUUCUCUCCUGCCUUGCAUGUUGUCCUCUAUCGUUGAAGGUGCGUUGUCAUCUCCACUGCUGUUUCUUUCUUUUCCGUUUUUCUUUUUUUGUCUUUCGCUAGUCCUGUGCUGUUCACACGUGUACCUUCGCGCUCUUCUUGUUUCGGCGUCUCUCACACCUUUUUGCUGCUGUUGAUGUAUGUUUUGUGUGUGCGCGCGCGCUAUCUUUUUCUGUAGAUUUACUGAGUUUUGUUUCUGUGCCUUUUUUUUUUCGGGCUUUGUGAUUUCUGUAGUGGCGUUGGGGUUUCUUCUUCGUCUGUGGAUUUACUCCAGCUCGAACUUUCUAUUGCGUUUUUUUUUCUAGCGCGCGCGUGUGCUUGUGUGGGUGUAUCUGCCUCCCGCCCUUUCUCUUACCAACACCCUCUGCCCUUCUUUCUCACCCUCUCUUGCACGUUCUUUGUGCCUGAGUUGCAUAAAACCUCGGCCCGUGCUUGUUUUGCCCACCCUUCAUCUUUUGUGUGUGUGUGUGUGUUUUAUGUUUUUUUUUUUGCUCCUUUCGUCACCGCUCUUGGAUUCCAAGCUGUCUCUUAUCAUUCUCCUUUAUUUAUCAAUCUCAUACACCCUCACUCCUCUUCCUCUCACCAAAAGAAAACAAAAGAAAAAGGGGGCGCACACGGCUUCCUCUGCCCUCCUUCCCCCCUCCCCACCGAUUUCACCAUAUCUUUUUGUUGUUGCUGCUGCUGCUGCGGUUGUUGCUGUUUUUGUUGUGUGUGCGCUCUUCAUUUGUGUGGGUUUGACCACCCUCCCGCGCUUCAUCUUUGGCGCCCUCGUCUCACUGCUGCUGAAAGACACUGUGGUGCGCUUUAGCUCAGCAACGCGAUCGUUUAAGGUGGGAAAAGGUGUUUUACGGCUCUCUUACUCAUCUUUUUCUCCGCCUAUAUCAUCUGUGUGUGCAUGUGCGUGACCGGUGACUGCGCAUAAUAUUUGCUGAUUCAACAGAAGCAGCUUUUUCUUGCUGUUUUCGUGCUUGCGUUCGCUCUCCUUCCUGCAUUCUCCUUUUUCGGCCUCCUCCCCAACCAUUUCCACUGAAUUCACACUUCAACCCUUUGGGCGUAGUCAGCUCUUCUUUUCGUUUGCGCCUGCACGCCCUUUAUCUUACUUGACUCUCCGUGCUUCUUUCCCCUCUCCCCACCCACCCCAUCCUUCUUCUGCCCCUCGUUUUCGAGGGUGCGUGCCUCUGUUGCGUGCCCUCUUUUUGUUUUAUGCGCUCUUCUGCUUAUAUAUACGUACAUACGUCUUUGUUUGUGCACACAAGUUUUCGUGUUUUUUUUUUCCGCCUCUGUCUCUCUCUGCGUGGGUGUGGGUGUUCAUGUUUCUUCGCCUUUGUUUGGUUUCACCUUUUUCUUUGCCUUUCUCGUUUUUCUCGUUGAGCGCUUUGGUUUACGCGCGUGCGCUUUAUUUCCUCAUCAUUUCUCUUUUACUUGCCCCCCCUCUUGUUUUUUUUUUCGGCUGCGUGCUGCUUGUUUCUCGAGGUCUGUGUCUGUGUCUGUGGCUCGUGUGUGUGCGUGUGCGUGUAUUCGUCCCUCCGCACUAGAAAAAAAAAGGAGAGUCAACGAACACAUUUUUUUUUUGCUCGCCUCUGACACUUUCUUCUCCAUCCUCCUCGUCUUGUGUUCUUUCUCUCUUGUCUGCUUUCUAGAUCGUACCGUGUGAGGUGCGGUCACACUGCUGAGUGUUGGUGUCUGCGUUGCCUGUCCGGGUGUUUGCGAGCCUACCCCCACCCAUCUGCAUACAACAGCGGCAAACAACAUAUACACACGAAAAAAGAACUGACUUCACUACCCACUCGUACUUCUCACACGCAGGCACCGUGCACGAGCAGACGCCAGUUUUAUUGUUCCUGUAUUCCUUUCUGUCUUCCAACUCGAUCGACUCGUUCGAGCCUGCAGGUCCUCGCUCACCUGUCCUUUCUCUUCUGCCCUUCCCCAUCACCUCUCCUUCGUCCUUUCUUCCUUUCCCGUCACCUGGUGCCGUGUCUGUCGGCGUGUUCGUGUUUGCGUCUAGUGUUCCCUUCUUGUUUUAUUAUUAUUAUUGUUGCGGUGCGUUUUUGCUCUUUCCUUCGUGUGGUUUCUCCUGUGUGUGUGUGGGGUGGGUGGGUGUUGCCUGCGCCCGCUGAGGGGCCCCCACCCGCGUAUGAAAAGGCGUCCAGAGCUGGUUGUCUCGUUCUCUCUUCGCACCCUUCCCGCUCAUCCUUAUUUUUCGUUUUCUUUUGUUUUUGUCGACGACCAUCCCCAUACAUGCCCAAUACUUGUGCUAACCUUCAUCUCUAGCGUUACUUUCACCCUUUCCCCUCCCUUCCUCCAUACCCCAUCCCCUUCUCCACCGAUUCACGCACGCGUACCUGUACUCCCUCCUGUUUCUGUUUUGGCUUUGGUUAUGUUCGGUGCUGUUGCUGCUUUUCGUCUGUUUUUUUUUUUGUUUCUUCUAUUCCGCCUUUGCGCUCCCUCUCACUCACUCUGUCUUUCUCUCCCCCACCACGCCACACCGCACCGGGCGUUGUGCGCAAGAAACGAAAGGACGGCAAGCGAGGCAUAGUCGCGCGUUGCACUGCUUGACGUCCCUUUUCGCUCUUUUUGCCUUCCUUCCCUUCCUCCGUCUUCAUUUUUUUUCUCUGCUUGUUUGCUCAUUGGGGUAAUCGGUUUGCGAAGCAUUUCCAGCACGCGGGCUCUCUGGUGUGUUGUUGCCUCUCACGAGAACAACAUACGUGCAAGCCUCCACGCGCAUAGUGGCGAGCCACAGGGUCAUGCAAACGCACGCGCUUUCUCUCUUACUUAGUGUCUCAAUAGGCUCUCAGCACGUACACCAGUGCAAGGAACAGCGGGUUGCGGAGCACCACUGCUAGCACAGAUUCAGCGUCGACGGGAAAGCGCACUGCUUCCGCACACUCCACCGCACCUCAGCGCAGCAAUGCUUAACGGCAAUAGCGUGCAGCCGAUCAUCAUCAACUCCAAGCGCUCGUGUACGUCCAGCGAUAGCAGCGGCGCAGACGGCACUAAAUCGCAGGGCGCACUGAUUUCAGCCAGCGCGAUAGCGGUGUCUCCGGGGCCGCCGAGCGGGUCUAGUGCGACAACGCCGUCUAGAGUCUCCGGGGCUGUGCUGGCCUCCCGGCAGCCGAUUCCGUCGGGUGCCAGUCCAUCGGUGACAGGCGGUGGCGCGACCACCGGCAUGUGGUACGACCCCGCCGCCGCCAACUUUGCAGCACAAGCGCGCGGCUCUGUCAUUCGCGUUCUGCCGACUGCUGGCGGCUACGCCACGGGGGAGCAGAGCACUCCUGCGCCGAGCCGGAACGUCCCGAAUCCGGCGCAUUCCGCUGUACAACCGGGACAGCACUUUUCAUUGCUGGAUCUGCAGCAAAGUCAUGCAAAUAACACGUCCACGACAGUUGGCACGGCCUCGACCAUGAUACGGAACGCCACGAUCCCGGCGUACAUCCAGUCCAGCCCGAAUCACAGCAACCACAACAAUAUGAGCUUGUCGCUGAGCCUGCAGAAGCAGAAGGACGCGAACGCCGACGGUGAGGACUACGCCGACGGCCGACGCAUCUUGAUGCACAACCCGCUCAAGGGCCAUCUCUUCAGCAGCACCUCGGACUCCUCGCUUCACAGCUCCAUCGGCCAGCCGGAGAUGAUCGCGGCGGCGUCCAGCAGCGUGCAGAAGGGGAGCAGCGGCGCCGGCAACCGUCUCGACACAGCGCUCGGCUUUUGCGGUGAGGAGACGGCGCAGGGGCUGGUUGCUGAGCAAGUCGAGGGCCCGUGUGAUGAGAAGCACGUGAACCUGAUUGAGGUGCGCGCCAUCGACUCGGACGACGAUCCAUCCUCGCUUGAGGAGCAGGAGCACCAAGUUUGCUGCACCAUUCCCAGUCUUCCCGCCGUUGCUUUUAUCAUGUGCUUUGGCGCCAUCAUUGUGGGGCUGUUGGGUUUCCUUCCGUUCUACUUCGUCGGCGUCCAGUCCAACGCACACACGACAGAGUAUCUGCUGAGUGAGGCCAUGAAGGGCGUAGCCUCCAUCACGCAGAACAGCCUGGCGAUGCUUCCCGCGUUUGUGCACAUUGUGACGUUCAACUACAUCAAGCGUCAUAACACGACACUGGAGGAGACGAACUUGCCCCAAGACCCGGAUCAGCUGCUGGUAUCGCUCCUCACGGUUCUCACUCGCUUCAACGAGGCCAUUUCGUAUCUGCGGUUCGUCUACGAAGGCGGUCUCUACACGAAUGCCGGUUACACAGACCCGAAGCCAACCGAUGCAAACCAGACCCGAAAGAUCUACGGCGGUUACAGCCGCACGCACAACACGGUCCCCAUGCUCGAAAUGUACAAUGAGAGCGUCACCGCGGUUGAACCGCCCAACGUAUUGGGUUACUUCGACUUCCACCGCGAAGUCACGCUCCCUGAAGGCGCCAUGAACCAGAUUGUGAAAACGUGGGUGGCGGACCCGCAGAACAACACCCGCUGGCUACUGGCCUCUGAUAACACCACUCCGACGUACUUCAACUUCGUGAUGCCCUUUACCGUAAACGGCUCCCUUGGCUACUUCGCGGCCGGCUCCUCGUCGGACACGAUCAUCGAAG